rnacentral:rRNA from 1 species
AAUGAACGUUGGCGGCAUGGAUUAGGCAUGCAAGUCGAGCGAGAACCGUAGCAAUACGGGGACAGCGGCGAAAGGGAGAGUAAUGUGUGGAUAUCUACCUCCAGGCCUGGGACAACUACGGGAAACUGUAGCCAAUACCAGAUAAUGUCUGCGGACCAAAGGUGUGAUUCCUCCGGGAGAUGAGUCCACAUCCUAUUAGCUAGUUGGUAGGGUAAUAGCCUACCAAGGCAAUGAUGGGUAGCAGGUGUGAGAGCACGACCUGCCUCAUUGGGACUGAGACACUGCCCAGACACCGACGGGUGGCUGCAGUUGAGAAUCUUCGGCAAUGGGCGCAAGCCUGACCGAGCGAUGCGGCGUGCGGGAUGAAGGCCUUCGGGUUGUAAACCGCUGUCAGAGGGGAUGAAAUACGUCGGGGGUUCUCCCCCGGGUUUGACAUAUCCUCAGAGGAAGGACGGGCUAAGUUCGGGCCAGCAGCCGCCGUAA